GUUGUUGUUGCUGUUGUUGUUGUUUGCUGUGGUGCGUAGGUUAAGGAAAUUGGUGUCGGAGAAGUGAGCCGCCUGUUGCUGCGCCUGUUGUGAGCGAAGAAGCGCAGAGUUAAGCCAAUUAGGCGCUGUCGUUUCGAUGCUUUGUUGGUGUUGGUGGUGUUGUUGCUGUGGAGGUGACGGUGGUUGUUGUUGUUGCUGUUGUUGUUGGUCGGUGAAGUGAUGAAGAGGAAGGUCUUGCGAGAGGUGAUUGUGGUGAAACGCCAUGUGCGUGCUGUUGCUGUUGACUUGCUGUCCUCGUUGCUGUUGCUGAUGUGUGUGUGUGUAUUUCUGUCUAUCUAUCUAUCUAUCUGUCUAUAGCCGUCUAUAUCUGUCUAAGUAUCUAUAGGUGUCU
rnacentral:lncRNA from 1 species